rnacentral:sRNA from 25 species
CGUUAUUUGAGUCACGACACCUCGGAAUGCGAAGCUAGUUCCCCGCUCUGUC